rnacentral:rRNA from 1 species
CGUAUAUUAGAGUUGUUGCGUUUAAAACGCCCGUAGUUGAGGCUCGCCCGCCGCCCCGCCGUGCUGUGCGCUCCGGCGCAGGCCGGCGCGGGCGCGGGCAUCCGCUCCGGCGGAGUGUUACCAUAAAGAAAUUGGAGUGUUCCAUGCAGGCAGCGCCCCCGGGCCAGGCCCUUGCACAGUCCAGUAUGGGAUAACGGCGGACGACUCGCGCCCGUCUCGUUGGUUCACCGGGCGUGACCCCACAGUAAUGGUCGAGAGGGGCGGUCGGGGAUAUCAGUACUGGGGCGGGAAGGGUUAAAUCUUAUGAUCGCCCCAAGACUAGCAAAGGCGAAGGCACUUAUCAAGGACGCUUUCGUUGAUCAAGGACGAAAGCUGGGGGAGAGAAGGAGAUUAGACACCUCCGUAUUCCCAGCUGUAAACGAUGCCGACCCGGGACUGGGCGCGUACUUUCGGUAGAUACUACACGACAUGGUCUCCUCCAGGACCGAGCGAGAAAUCAGAGUAUCCAGGUUACGGGGGGAGUAUGGUCGCAAGACGGAAACUUAAAGGAAUUGACGGAAGGGCACCACAAUUGGCGUGGAGCCUGCGGCUUAAUUGGAUUCAACGCCGUGAAACUCACCAGGCCCAGACUCGCCAGGGAUUGACAGACUGACAGAUCUUUCGUGAUUGCGAGAGUGGUGGUGCAUGGCCGUUCUCAGUUCGUGGGGUGACCCGUCUGCCUAAUCGCGAUAACGGACGAGACCUCUGCCUGCCAAAUCGGCCUCGGCCGGACGUUAGGGGGGCGCAGGUGUGCAUCGCACGCCCUGCGCGGGCUCGGCCCGCCCCCCUGCUUGGCGGGACAACCACUGCGAAGUGCGAGGAAGCGCGAGGCAAUAACAGGUCUGUGAUGCCCUUAGAUGUCUCUGGGCCGCACGCGUGCUACACUGGCGGGCGCAGCAUGUGCGCGCCAAACCCGACAGGGUGAGGUACUCAUCGCAAUGCCCGUCCCGGCUGGGAUUGACGCUUGGAACUGUGCGUCAUGAACCCGGAAUGCCUCGUAAGCAUGUGUCACCAUCGCAUGCUGA